AUCGAAUUGUGACUACAACAUUAGACAAAACUGAAUAACACAUUAUACACACUCACAUCUUUUAUACAUGGACGACAUUAAGCUGUGCAUCUACACAAUUACAACAGCUGUUACAAAUCACGCACACCUUUUCAAAAAACAUCGGCAUGGAGUUUGGCCUAGACAAAUGCAUAACAAUUCACACAAAAAAGGGAGUCCUAAAGAAAGGAGACUCCACUCUUGAAAAUGGAGAUACUAUCGAAUCCACGGAAGAGGGUGAAGUGAACAAGUAUUUGGGAUUCCAGCAGGCCAGACUCAUAGAACAAAAGAAAACUAAACAUAAACACUGUCAAAAGUGUACACCAGCAGAUUAAAUAACAUUCUCAAAACACAUCUGAAUAGAAAAAAGCACAGUGAAAGCCAUCAACACAUUCACCAUACCAGUACUGACUUACUCCUUUGGAUUGAUACAGUGGACACAGACACAGAACUGCAAUCACUCCAAAGAAAAACAUGAA
rnacentral:lncRNA from 1 species